rnacentral:rRNA from 1 species
UCAAGUGGGACCCAUUACAAAUGAUCUCUUGAAUCCGCAGAUAAGCGUGCUUGGGCGAGAGUAGUACUAGGUUGGGUGACUUCCCGGGAAAUCCUCUUCUUGCAUCCC